rnacentral:rRNA from 1 species
AUACGGAGGGGGUUAGCGUUGUUCGGAAUUACUGGGCGUAAAGCGUACGUAGGCGGAUUAGUAAGUUAGGGGUGAAAUCCCGAGGCUCAACCUCGGAACUGCCUCUAAAACGGCUAGUCUUGAGUUCGAGAGAGGUGAGUGGAAUUCCUAGUGUAGAGGUGAAAUUCGUAGAUAUUUGGAGGAACACCAGUGGCGAAGGCGGCUCACUGGCUCGAUACUGACGCUGAGGUGCGAAAGCGUGGGGAGCAAACAGGAUUAGAAACCCCGGUAGUCC